rnacentral:rRNA from 1 species
GAUGAACGCUAGCAGGAGGCUUAAUACAUGCAAGUCGAGCGGGAUCCACCUUUCGGGGUGGUGAGAGCGGCGCACGGGUGAGUAACGCGUACACGACCUACCUCUGACAAGGGGAUAGCCCUGGGAAACUGGGAUUAAUACCCUAUACGAUUCCGGAUAAUAAAGGUCUGGAAUGAAAGCUCCGGCGGUCAGAGAUGGGUGUGCGUCUGAUUAGCUAGUUGGUAGGGUAACGGCCUACCAAGGCGAUGAUCAGUAGGGGGCGGGAGAGCGUGGUCCCCCAGACGGGUACGGAGACACGGACCCGACUCCUACGGGAGGCAGCAGUAAGGAAUAUUGGUCAAUGGGCGCAAGCCUGAACCAGCCAUCCUGCGUGCAGGAAGAAGGCCCUAUGGGUUGUAAACUGCUUUUGUCAGGGAAUAAACCUGUGGAUUUAUCCGCAGCUGAAGGUACCUGAAGAAUAAGCACCGGCUAACUCCGUGCCAGCCGCCGCGGUAACAC